rnacentral:rRNA from 1 species
UACGGAGGGGGCUAGCGUUGUUCGGAAUUACUGGGCGUAAAGCGCACGUAGGCGGCUUUGCAAGUCAGAGGUGAAAGCCCGGGGCUCAACCCCGGAAUUGCCUUUGAGACUGCAUCGCUAGAAUUGUGGAGAGGUAAGUGGAAUUCCCGGUGUAGCAGUGAAAUGCGUAGAUAUCGGGAGGAACACCAGUGGCGAAGGCGGCCUUCUGGACCAGUACUGACGCUCAUGCACGAAAGCGUGGGGAGCAAACAGG